GGUGAAACAUGACAAAGACUCCAACUCCUCAUGAAGAGGUCAUUUGGUAGACACUGAUUGUCUGGGUAUUGGUGUUUUGAGUCCAUCUGAAUCCUUGUCCAUUGGAUUCAGGGAAAUAAUGAAUGUUUUAGUCUUUUCAGUUUUUGCUUUCUCCAAUUAGCAGUGGCUUUUGGGAUUUAUUCUUUUAGUACUUUAAUUUGGUGGUUAAGUAGGAGUUGAAUUGGGUAUGCAUAUGGAUUAGUUGCUUUGUUGAAGAUUAAAUUUUGGUGAAUAAGAGAUUCCAUGUAAGUCGC
rnacentral:misc_RNA from 1 species